rnacentral:rRNA from 1 species
UCACGCGACAUCUGAUUCGCGCAUUCAUUUUCGAUUCAGCUUCAUGUAGUCGAGUUGCAGACUACAAUCCGAACUGAGACGUUAUUUUUGGGAUUUGCUCCCCCUCGCGGGCUCGCUUCCCUUUGUUUACGCCAUUGUAGCACGUGUGUAGCCCUGGUCAUAAGGGGCAUGAUGAUUUGACGUCAUCCCCACCUUCCUCCAGGUUAUCCCUGGCAGUCUCUCUAGAGUGCCCAUCCGAAAUGCUGGCUACUAAAGAUAGGGGUUGCGCUCGUUGCGGGACUUAACCCAACAUCUCACGACACGAGCUGACGACAACCAUGCACCACCUGUCUCCUCUGUCCCGAAGGAAAGCUCCGAUUAAAGAGCGGUCAGAGGGAUGUCAAGACCAGGUAAGGUUC